UACGUAGGGUGCAAGCGUUGUCCGGAAUCAUUGGGCGUAAAGAGCGUGUAGGCGGCUCGAUUAGUCCGCUGUAAAAAGUCCAGGGCUCAACCCUGGGAUGCCGGUGGAAACUGUCGGGCUAGAGUCCGGGAGAGGCGAGUGGAAUUCCUGGUGUAGCGGUGAAAUGCGCAGAUAUCAGGAGGAACACCAAUGGCGAAGGCAGCUCGCUGGAACGGUACUGACGCUGAGACGCGAAAGCGUGGGGAGCAAACAGG
rnacentral:rRNA from 1 species